rnacentral:rRNA from 1 species
AGAGCGAACGCUGGCGGCAGGCCUAAUACAUGCAAGUCGAGCGGUCCCUUCGGGGGGCAGCGGCGGACGGGUGAGUAACGCGUGGGAACGUGCCCUUUGGUACGGAACAACUGAGGGAAACUUCAGCUAAUACCGUAUGUGCCCUUCGGGGAAAGAUUUAUCGCCAUUGGAGCGGCCCGCGUUGGAUUAGGUAGUUGGUGAGGUAAAGGCUCACCAAGCCUACGAUCCAUAGCUGGUCUGAGAGGAUGAUCAGCCACACUGGGACUGAGACACGGCCCAGACUCCUACGGGAGGCAGCAGUAGGGAAUCUUGCGCAAUGGGACGAAAGCCUGACGCAGCCAUGCGCGUGAAUGAUGAAGGUCUUAGGAUUAGUAAAAUUUCUUUACACCGGGGACGAUAAUGACGGUACCGGAGAAGACGGCCCCGGCUAACUUCGUGCCAGCACGCCGC